GAAGCUAAUUCCGUAUAACAUAGAAAACCGCAUGGUUUUCUUUUUAAAAAAGGCUCUGCUAUCCCUUCUGGAUGGACCCGCGGCGUAUUUACUAGUUGGGGAGGGAAAGGGUCCCCAAGGCAGAGAUACCUAGCCAACCUGAAAAGGUAAACGGCCACAUUGCCACUGAAACCCCGGCCAGACUCCUAAGGGAAGCCUCCAUAAGGAAUCUUCCCCAAAGGACGCAAGUCCGAUGGAACCACCCCCCGUGGGUGAAGAAAGGUUUCCGCUCGUAAAGCUCUGUUGUUAAGAAAGAACGUGGGUUAGAAUUACUGGUUACCCGGUGAAGGGAUUUAACCAAAAAGGCACGGGUAACUACGUGGCAACAGCCGCGGUAAUACCUAAGUGGCAAGCGUUAUCCGGAAUUAUUGGGCGGUAAGCUAACGCAGGAGGUCUUUUAAGUCUAGAGUGAAAGCCUUCCGCUCAACCUAAGAAGUGCAUUGGAAACUGGGAUAAUUGAAUUGAAAAUAAGACAGUGGAACUUCAUGUGUAGCGGUUAAAUGCCUAGAUAUAUGGAAAAACACUCCAUGUCCGAAAGGCGCUGUCCGGUCUGGAACUGACGCUUAGAGCUCGGAAGCCUGGUGUAUCUAACUAGGAAUUUAUACCCCGGGUAAUGCAUGCCGC
rnacentral:rRNA from 1 species